rnacentral:lncRNA from 10 species
CUCCCAAGAGGCUGGUGCAUCUGUUUAAAGGAGCAGGCACUAGGCAGAGCAGCCCCCACCCCACCCUCCAUGGCAGAGUGCAGUGGGGGAAGGGAUGGGAUUUCACCAUGUUGUCCAAGCUGGUUUUGAACUCCUGGGGUCAAGAAAUCCACCUGCUUCGGCCUCCCACAGUGCUGGGAUUACAGAUUGUGCUUUUGGUGUUACAUCUAAGAAAUCUUUGCUUUUGAUUAUUUUAAAAAUUGAUUUUCUCAUCAAGUAAAAGAAAAUGUACUUUCAAGUUCCUUUAAGUAUAUCCACGUUGCCUAGGCAACCAAGUUAUUUAUCAAUAGGUGAUCAUUUGUAAUGAUUUGUUAAUAAAGGAAUUAGAAAAUCUU